rnacentral:tRNA from 2 species
AGGCCGCCGGGCGGCGGUCCGGCGCCUCCGGUGUGUCCGACGCCGAGGUGACGACCGAGCUUCCGAAGCCGCCGGUUCCGACGGGCGCGGCCGAC